GCGCGCGCAGGUGGUUUCUUAAGUCUGAUGUGAAAGCCCACGGCCUCUCCGUGGAGGGUCAUUGGAAACUGGGAGACUUGAGUGCACAAGAGGAAAGUGGAAUUCCAUGUGUAGCGGUGAAAUGCGUAGAGAUAUGGAGGAACACCAGUGGCGAAGGCGACUUUCCGGUCUGUAACUGACACUGAGGCGCGAAAGCGUGGGGAGCAAACAGGAUUAGAUACCCUGGUAGUCCACGCCGUAAACGAUGAGUGCUAAGUGUUAGAGGGUUUCCGCCCUUUAGUGCUGAAGUUAACGCAUUAAGCACUCCGCCUGGGGAGUACGGCCGCAAGGCUGAAACUCAAAGGAAUUGACGGGGGCCCGCACCAGCGGAGGAGCAUGUGGUU
rnacentral:rRNA from 1 species